AUUGAACGCUGGCGGCAGGCCUAACACAUGCAAGUCGAAUGGUAACAGGAAACAGCUUGCUGUUUCGCUGACGAGUGGCGGACGGGUGAGUAAUGUCUGGGAAACUGCCUGAUGGAGGGGGAUAACUACUGGAAACGGUAGCUAAUACCGCAUAACGUCGCAAGACCAAAGAGGGGGACCUUCGGGCCUCUUGCCAUCAGAUGUGCCCAGAUGGGAUUAGCUAGUAGGUGGGGUAACGGCUCACCUAGGCGACGAUCCCUAGCUGGUCUGAGAGGAUGACCAGCCACACUGGAACUGAGACACGGUCCAGACUCCUACGGGAGGCAGCAGUGGGGAAUAUUGCACAAUGGGCGCAAGCCUGAUGCAGCCAUGCCGCGUGUAUGAAGAAGGCCUUCGGGUUGUAAAGUACUUUCAGCGGGGAGGAAGGGAGUAAAGUUAAUACCUUUGCACAUUGACGUUACCCGCAGAAGAAGCACCGGCUAACUCCGUG
rnacentral:rRNA from 1 species